AUUAUAUUAUCACACUAAGGCUGGUGGGAGUCAUAUCAUGUAUUAUAUUGUCACACUAAGACUGGUGGGAGUCAUAUCAUGUAUUAUAUUGUCACACUAAGGCUGGUGGGAGUCAUAUCAUGUAUUAUAUUGUCACACUAAGGCUGGUGGGAGUCAUAUCAUGUAUUAUAUUAUCACACUAAGGCUGGUGGGAGUCAUAUCAUGUAUUAUAUUAUCAUACUAAGACUGGUGGGAGUCAUGUGGUGGCCUGUGUUGUGUUGAUUUCACAAUUUAUCAUCCACUGCGGAUGACUGACAAAGAGUUUCACUACCUAAAGUCACACAGACCCAGGACAGUGUAGGGAGAAGACCCAGGACAGUGUAGGGAGAAGACACAGGACAGAUGUAUAUUAGAGUUGAGAUUAGAUGUAGAAGUUACUGUAUUUUAUCAGCAGUGUGUUAAGAUGUCAGAGGGAGUCUAUGAAAUCCCAGAUGGAUUUAAUGACGAUCAGCCUGAUGCAAUGAAGAACACAGACAUUGAUGGCCAAUUAUAUUCCAACCUAAGAGCCUUCAAGUCCAGUCCAAGAGAUGGAGUUGUUGCUUCAGACAUUUGUCUUCAACCUCCACAUGAGAGCCUGGAUUGGUCUGACUGACUCUGUUACUGAGGGGCCCUGGAAGUGGGUGGACGUCACAUCACUGAUCACAGGGUACUGGAGGACAGGACAGCCCGAUGAUAGUGGGCAAGAGGACUAUUGAGGUAUACAAUGGACAAGAUGACCCUGUAAACACAUGGAAUGAUGACAAAUGUGGCACAAAUCUCAACUGGAUCUGUGAGAAAGAGGUACAGGUAUCUAUCCAAAUGCAAUAAUCUGGGUCCUGCUGGAGAGGAGGACUAUGCUGAGAGAACACAGAAACAUGCGAGGAGAAUCUUCACUGGAUUUGUGAGAAAGUGGUUGAACAUCACCAUGACAACAUACUGUGACACAUACAGCAGCCUAGUGCACACAACCUCCUCCUCCUGUCUCUCUCUCGCUCCAAUUUCAUCAUUUAACAGAGCGACUUACAGUAAUGAGCAGUGGCGUAAAGUACUUAAGAAAAAAUACUUUAGAGUAAUUUUUUUGGGGGGGGUAUCUGUCCUUUACUAUUUAUAUUUUUGACAACUUUUACUUCACUUCAAUACUUUUUACUAUAUACAUUUUCCCUGACAACUUGCACAUUCAUCUUCUGCACAUCUAUCACUCCAGUGUUAAUGCUAAAUUGUAAAUAUUUCGCCACUCUGGACUCUUUAUUGCCUUUACCUCCCUAAUCUUACUACAUUUACACAUACUGUAUGUAUUUCUAUUGUGUUAUUGACUGUACGUUUGUUUAUCCCACAUGCAACUCUGUGUUGUUUGUGUCGGACUGCUUUGCUUUAUCUUGGCCAGGUUGCAGUUGUAAAUGAGAACUUGUUCUCAACUGGCCGACCUGGUUAAAUAAAGGUGGUAAAAAAAACUAAAGUACUCAUUACAUUUUGAAUACUUGACAGAACAGGAAAAAUUGUGAAACACAUGGUCAUCCUAACUGCAUAUAUUCUGGCAGAUUUCCAGUACAUUAGACACAACAUGUGGCCAGCAGCAUACCACCCUGCAUACCACUGCUGGUUUGCUUCUGAAGCUAAGCAGGGUUGGUCCUGGUCAGUACCUGGAUGGGAGACCAGAUGCUGCUGGAAGUGCUGUUGGAGGGCCAGUAGGAGGCACUCUUUCCUCUGGUCUAAAAAAAGAAAUGCCCCAGGGCGGCCCUGUGUAGGGUGCCGUCUUUCGGAUGGGACUUUAAACGGGUGUCCUGACUCUCUGAGGUCAUUAAAGAUCCCAUGGCACUUAUCGUAAGAGUAGGGGUGUUAACCCCGGUGUCCUGGCUAAAUUCCCAAUCUGGCCCUUGAACCGUCACCCAGUUAACAAUUGGCUCAUUCAUCCCCCUCCUCUCCCCUGUAACUAUUCCCCAGGUCGUUGCUGUAAAUGAGAACGUGUUCUCAGUCAACUUACCUGGUAAAGUAAUGCAUAAAAAAAGGACAUUAGACAACAUGAGGUCAGUACAUUACACACAACAUGAACAGGAGAAGAAAAUGUCCUUACCUUAACCACAAUGUUACUAUUUCAUCACCUUCCUCUUUUGACAUUUCCCUUUUAUUCUCUGGAUGAAGUCAUAAACAGUUAGUCAAAGACUCAGAGCAGAGACAGGUACAGUAAAGAAACAGACACAGGGGCAACUAUAUUACCAGAAUCUGUAUAUAGACAGAAAACACAGUAAGUUGUUGGAGAGGUCAUCUAUGCUUAGCCAGAUAUGAACAAGGUCACGUUUGACAGAGGUGAGAUGGAGGAGAGGAUUGUGGAUAUCUACGUCAGUGCAGACACCCUGAGAGACGGUGAGACCAGCACCAAGAGAGAAGAGACAGAGGACACUGCUCCUAAUAAUGGACCAGGAGACCAGCACUCAGAGCCUGAUAGCUCAGGGAAGAGACCCUUCCUAGUUGCUGCAGUGUUUCUGGGGCUGCUGUGUGUUCUACUGGCUGGGAUCAUAGGCCUGUCUGUCUACUACUAACACAACUGCAGAGAGAGACCAGCUACAGACCAAAUACAACAACCUGACUGAAGAGAGAGACCAGUUACAGACCAGAUACAACAACCUGACUGAUGAGAGAGACCAGCUACAGACCAGAUACAACAACCUGACUGAAGAGAGAGACAGGCUUCAGAAUUUGCUUUGUGAAAGAACAUGUUGUUCAUACGGAUGGAAGAAGUUUGAAUGCAGUUGUUACUUCAUCUCUACUGAGAAGAAAACCUGGGAGAAGAGCAGACAGGACUGUCUGGAGAGAGGAACAUACCUGGUGAUCAUAAACAGCAAAGAGGAACAGGAGUUUCUCUUCAACUUCAAGAAGAGAGUCUGGAUUGGUCUGACUGACAGAGAGACAGAGGAGACCUGGAAAUGGGUGGAUGGAACACCACUGACCACAGAGUACUGGAAUGACAAGCAGCCUGAUAGUAAAGAUCCUACUGGGGAGGAGGACUGUGUUGAGAUACAUACAGAUUGGACUCCACUUAAGGCAUGGAAUGACAUGUCAUGUGACAGGAAACUCAACUGGAUUUGUGAGAAAGUGUUUUAACAUCACCAUGACAACGUACCAUAACACAUACAGCAGUUUAGUGUACACAACUUUAUUCUUCAUUCUCUCUCUCUCUCUCUCACACACACACACUCUCUCUAUCACACUUACACACAUUUUCACACACACACGCACACACACAUACAUGCAGGUACACACACGCAUUCAAAUGCACCUAUUGUUUUAUUAGUUUGUUGUAUCAUAUUAAUAAAAGUCCUACUUAUUU